rnacentral:rRNA from 1 species
UACGUAGGGUGCAAGCGUUAAUCGGAAUUACUGGGCGUAAAGCGUGCGCAGGCGGUUGUGUAAGACAGAUGUGAAAUCCCCGGGCUCAACCUGGGAACUGCAUUUGUGACUGCACGGCUGGAGUGCGGCAGAGGGGGAUGGAAUUCCGCGUGUAGCAGUGAAAUGCGUAGAUAUGUGGAGGAACACCGAUGGCGAAGGCAGCCCCCUGGGUCAAGAUUGACGCUCAUGCACGAAAGCGUGGGGAGCAAACAGG